rnacentral:rRNA from 1 species
GUCGAGCGUUGGAUUGAGAGCUUGCUCUCAAGAAGUUAGCGGCGGACGGGUGAGUAACACGUGGGUAACCUGCCCAUAAGACUGGGAUAACUCCGGGAAACCGGGGCUAAUACCGGAUAACAUUUUGAACUGCAUGGUUCGAAAUUGAAAGGCGGCUUCGGCUGUCACUUAUGGAUGGACCCGCGUCGCAUUAGCUAGUUGGUGAGGUAACGGCUCACCAAGGCAACGAUGCGUAGCCGACCUGAGAGGGUGAUCGGCCACACUGGGACUGAGACACGGCCCAGACUCCUACGGGAGGCAGCAGUAGGGAAUCUUCCGCAAUGGACGAAAGUCUGACGGAGCAACGCCGCGUGAGUGAUGAAGGCUUUCGGGUCGUAAAACUCUGUUGUUAGGGAAGAACAAGUGCUAGUUGAAUAAGCUGGCACCUUGACGGUACCUAACCAGAAAGCCACGGCUAACUACGUGCCAGCAGCCGCGGUAAUACGUAGGUGGCAAGCGUUAUCCGGAAUUAUUGGGCGUAAAGCGCGCGCAGGUGGUUUCUUAAGUCUGAUGUGAAAGCCCACGGCUCAACCGUGGAGGGUCAUUGGAAACUGGGAGACUUGAGUGCAGAAGAGGAAGUGGAAUUCCAUGUGUAGCGGUGAAAUGCGUAGAGAUAUGGAGGAACACCAGUGGCGAAGGCG